AUGUUUGCUUCGGCUGCAUAAAUACUAAAAUUGGAAUGAGACAGAUAAGAUUAGCAUGGCUCCUACAAGGAUGACACACAAAUUCAUGAAAUAUUCCAUAUUUUU